CCAAAGAUUAGCGGCGGACGGGUGAGUAACACGUGGGCAACCUGCCUGUAAGACUGGGAUAACUCCGGGAAACCGGGGCUAAUACCGGAUAAUAUCUAUUUAUACAUAUAAUUAGAUUGAAAGAUGGUUCUGCUAUCACUUACAGAUGGGCCCGCGGCGCAUUAGCUAGUUGGUGAGGUAACGGCUCACCAAGGCGACGAUGCGUAGCCGACCUGAGAGGGUGAUCGGCCACACUGGGACUGAGACACGGCCCAGACUCCUACGGGAGGCAGCAGUAGGGAAUCUUCCGCAAUGGACGAAAGUCUGACGGAGCAACGCCGCGUGAGUGAUGAAGGUUUUCGGAUCGUAAAACUCUGUUGUUAGGGAAGAACAAGUACCGGAGUAACUGCCGGUACCUUGACGGUACCUAACCAGAAAGCCACGGCUAACUACGUGCCAGCAGCCGCGGUAAUACGUAGGUGGCAAGCGUUGUCCGGAAUUAUUGGGCGUAAAGCGCGCGCAGGCGGUUCCUUAAGUCUGAUGUGAAAGCCCACGGCUCAACCGUGGAGGGUCAUUGGAAACUGGGGAACUUGAGUGCAGAAGAGGAAAGUGGAAUUCCAAG
rnacentral:rRNA from 1 species